UAGCUAGUUGGUAGGGUAAAGGCCUACCAAGGCGACGAUCGGUAGCUGGUCUGAGAGGAUGAUCAGCCACACUGGGACUGAGACACGGCCCAGACUCCUACGGGAGGCAGCAGUGGGGAAUAUUGGACAAUGGGGGCAACCCUGAUCCAGCAAUGCCGCGUGUGUGAAGAAGGCCUGAGGGUUGUAAAGCACUUUCAGUGGGGAGGAGGAUUGAUAGGUUAAGAGCUAAUUAAUUGGACGUUACCCACAGAAGAAGCACCGGCUAACUCCGUGCCAGCAGCCGCGGUAAUACGGAGGGUGCGAGCGUUAAUCGGAAUUACUGGGCGUAAAGGGUGCGUAGGUGGUUUAUUAAGUUAACUGUGAAAUUCCUGGGCUUAACCUGGGCAGGUCAGUUAAGACUGAUAGACUUUGAGUAUAGGAGAGGGUAGUGGAAUUUCCGGUGUAGCAGUGAAAUGCGUAGAGAUCGGAAGGAACAUCGGUGGCGAAGGCGGCUACCCGGCCUAAUACUGACACUGAGGCACGAAAGCGUGGGUAGCAAACAGGAUUAGAUACCCUGGUAGUCCACGCCGUAAACGAUGUCAACUAGCUGUUAGUCAUAUAAAUGUGAUUAGUGGCGC
rnacentral:rRNA from 1 species